UGCGUAGGCGGAAUGAUAAGUCAGUGGUGAAAGCCUGCAGCUUAACUGCAGAACUGCCAUUGAUACUGUCAAUCUUGAGUACAUUUGAUGUGGGCGGAAUGUGUCAUGUAGCGGUGAAAUGCUUAGAUAUGACACAGAACACCGAUUGCGAAGGCAGCUCACAAAACUGUAACUGACGCUGAGGCACGAAAGCGUGGGUAUCAAACAGGAUUAGAUACCCUGGUAGUCCACGCUGUAAACUAUGAUUACUCGAUGUUUGCGAUACACUGUAAGCGUCUAAGCGAAAGCGAUAAGUAAUCCACCUGGGGAGUACGCUCGCAAGAGUGAAACUCAAAGGAAUUGA
rnacentral:rRNA from 1 species